GAUGAACGCUGGCGGCGUGCCUAAUACAUGCAAGUCGAGCGAACAGACGAGGAGCUUGCUCCUCUGACGUUAGCGGCGGACGGGUGAGUAACACGUGGAUAACCUACCUAUAAGACUGGGAUAACUUCGGGAAACCGGAGCUAAUACCGGAUAAUAUAUUGAACCGCAUGGUUCGAUAGUGAAAGACGGUUUUGCUGUCACUUAUAGAUGGAUCCGCGCCGCAUUAGCUAGUUGGUAAGGUAACGGCUUACCAAGGCAACGAUGCGUAGCCGACCUGAGAGAGUGAUCGGCCACACUGGAACGGAGACACGGUCCAGACUCCUACGGGAGGCAGCAGUAGGGAAUCUUCCGCAAUGGGCGAAAGCUUGACGGAGCAACGCCGCGUGAGUGAUGAAGGUCUUCGGAUCGUAAAACUCUGUUAUUAGGGAAGAACAAAUGUGUAAGUAACUAUGCACGUCUUGACGGUACCUAAUCAGAAAGCCACGGCUAACUACGUG
rnacentral:rRNA from 1 species